CCAGCUGCAUUAAUACUAUAGCACUUUUUAUGUCUAUAUAGCUGUUUCAUUGAGUUUGCAUGAACCAAUUAAAAGCAAUUGCUCAAAAUCAAGAUGGGAUCAAAAAAAAGGCUAGGUGGUAAUGUAGUCAUGAAAACAACAAAGAGAACAAGGGGGAAGAAGAGGAGAUCAAGAAUGGGCUAUUAUCAUGUUUUCAAUGAUAAUAAUAAUAUUAAUCUUCAACACCAACAAGACAAAAUGAUGAAGCUGCAGAGGCUAAUCCCAGGAGCUAGCCAAUUGCCUUCUCAUCAAUUGCUCCUCCAAACUGCUAAAUACAUAAUGCAUCUAAGGCUGCAAAUUCAUGCCUUGCAAGCUCUUGUUCUCUCCAUAAACACAUCAUCAUGAAGCCAAUUUUGUAAUUCUUUAAUUUCUCAUCUUGAUUGAACCUUUUAUGGUUUUUUGGAUUUUUGGAAUAGGCAGAUGUAACUUCUAUAGGGGCUAAGUAUUGCUGAACCCAAAUCAUUCUUUUUUGUAGUUUUAGGACAUGCAUUAAUCACUUUUAUGUUCAAUUGUAAUUCAAAACUAGCUUUUGCUGAAUACCAAUUUGUUCUUUUCUUCUUCAUAUACAAUGGUUGUUUUGAAUGUUAUGCUUCAAAACUUCUCUGUUUUUCUUAUAUAUACUGGAAUAUAGCCUGUUUCAGAAUGUGAGAUUAUCAACUAAAACCAAUAUGGACUCACACUUCUAUUAGGUGUAAUUGAAUACUUUAAAAUGCUACUUCCUUUCAAUUUGUUUGGCUAGAUUUGAAGUACGAGGAUCAAACAAGAAAUUUUCACCUUACAUAUAGCGAAUUUCGACAAAGUUUGAAACAGUAGUAUCUAGAUUAGAAUUUUAUACACAUUGUUCCUCUGAAGGUCAUAGAAUAAUGUAGUUUUGGAAUUUAGAGUGAUGUAUAAAAAAGGACCAUUUGGAACAUUCUUAAUAUAUCUGUAGCAGUAUAUCCAAAUAGAAACUAACUUAGAAGGAGAAAUCAUGCAAAUCUUUGACAGUUUUGCCGGCCUAGCUCUUCAAUAUUUUAAUGCCUUUUUCUCCUUCAGUCACCAUUUUUGUUACAUCAUCUGUUUUUUUGUUCUGCACUACAUCGACCUUGUCUUAGCAUAAUGUGCCAAUUGGCCGUUUUAGCUUUAGCUAUAUCUUAUUUCAUAAAUCAUAGUACUACUUUGUUAGCAUUCUGCUUGUUGCAGAUAGAUAAUUACCCAA
rnacentral:lncRNA from 1 species